GCCCCCAUCGUCUAGCGGCCUAGGAUUCCGCCCUUUCAAGGCGGCGGCACGGGUUCGAAUCCCGUUGGGGGCA
rnacentral:tRNA from 1 species